GGGUCAGUAGGUUGGUCGUGCCACCGGUACGUACUGGUCUCACUGAUUCCUCCUUCCUGAAGAACCGUAAUGCCAUUAAUUUGGUGUUGCGGGGAAACAGGACUGUUACUUUAAAAAAAUUAGAGUGUUUAAUGCAAGCUAACGCUUGAAUACAUUAGCAUGGAAUAAUGAAAUAGGACGAUCGAUCCUAUUUUGUUGGUUUCUAGGAUUGACGUA
rnacentral:rRNA from 1 species